rnacentral:rRNA from 1 species
CCCUUAGAUGUCCUGGGCCGCACGCGCGUUACACUGAUGCAUUCAACGAGCUUAUAACCUUGGCCGAGAGGCCUGGGCAAUCUUGUUAACGUGCAUCGUGAUAGGGAUAGAUUAUUGAAAUUAUGAAUCUUGAACGAGGAAUUCCUAGUAAACGCAGAUCAUCAAUCUGCAUUGAUUACGUCCCUGCCCUUUGUACACACCGCCCGUCGCACCUACCGAUUGGAUGGUCCGGUGAAGCCUCGGGAUUGUGGUUCUUGCCGCUUUAUUGUGGCGUGACCGCGAGAACUUGUCUAAACCUUAUCAUCUAGAGGAAGGUGAAGUCGUAACA